rnacentral:rRNA from 1 species
CAGUAGCCGCGGUAAUACGGAGGGUGCAAGCGUUAAUCGGAAUUACUGGGCGUAAAGCGUGCGUAGGCGGUUCGUUAAGUCUGUUGUGAAAGCCCCGGGCUCAACCUGGGAAUGGCAAUGGAUACUGGCGAGCUAGAGUGUGUCAGAGGAUGGUAGAAUUCCAGGUGUAGCGGUGAAAUGCGUAGAGAUCUGGAGGAAUACCGAUGGCGAAGGCAGCCAUCUGGCCUAAUACUGACGCUGAGGUACGAAAGCAUGGGGAGCAAACAGGAUUAGAUACCCCAGUAGUCCCUGUCUCUUAUAC